GAGUGGGCCCCGCCCUCUACGGGGGCACUGGCGCGGAAACUGGCCCUGUGUCGAAGAAGGAACGUACUUUGGCGUUCUUAUGAGCUGCCUAGUACAAAUUAUUGGCAGAAACAAUGAAUUAAACAUUCAAAAAGUAACCCACCGGCCGGCCGCAGCGGCUUAUGGCUGUAAUCCCGGCACUUUGGGAGGCCGAGGCGGGCGCAUCACCUGAGGACAGGAGUUCGAGACCAGCCUGGCCAACAUGGCGAAACCUCGUCCCUACUAAAAAAUACAAAAAUUAGCCAGGCGUGGUGGCGGGCGCCUGUAACCCCAGCUACUUAGGAGGCUGAAGCAGGAGAAUCGCUUGAACCCCGGAGGUGGAGGCUACAGUCCGGCACUGUUGGCACCAGGUCACCAGGACCCGCUUCAGCACAAGGAAUGUCAUCAAGGUGCCACUGCAGAAGCGGGCAGUGCCCUCCAUGAGGUGCGAAACUGUCUUCAAGCUGACUCCUGAAUUCUUCAGUCCUGGAAAGUCCAGGGGCCUAGAUUCUCAACAAUGCGCACAAAGGCAGAGAUGGGGAUACCGGAGGAGCCUCCAGGAAUCAUGGGCCCAGAACCUGCUCUCUCCACAGCACCCAUGUCCAGGCCCACCUUCGGGUGUCCACACCCACUCUGAGCCCAUCUUUUGUACCACCUCCAUUUCAAACACCUGUUUACUGCCUCAGAACAGUUCCUGGAAAGCAUGGCAGGUGCCUUGGUGUCUCCAUGAUGGUCAGACUCGCCCUGCCUUGGACAUGUGUCAAGAGAUGGAGCAGCUGCUGCUUCACUCACAGGAAAGGUUGGUGUCACUGGAGCCUGUCAUCAGUGUGAGGUCUCGCCCCACCUCCAUGACCUUAACCACCUCUCUUCCAAACUUACUUUCAGCUGAGAGGCUGCAGUUCUGCCCCCAGAGAGCUCCUGCCUGAUCCUUCCCACCAAACACUGAGAAUGUGCACUUGGAAGUCUUGGCACUGUCGACCAGAGGCCUGGGAACCAGGGGGUAAAAACCAGAAAGCAGGCAGAGAGGAUAGUAGAGAGACCCAGGCUCCAAGGUGGGUGAACCAGACAGGGAGCAGACGGGAGGAUGCUUCAGAAAUCCAGGCAUCUGGGGAGUAGUUCCCAGUAGACUUUGGAAUGGAGGGUGAUGCAGAGACUAACGUGUUGGAGUGUGCAAACCAGAGACUAGUAAUAAGUGAAACUGAUGGCGAGAUCUUGACACCAGGGUGGGACACCCAGGACCGGAUGGGAGUUGAGAGUAGAACCAACAUUCAGGAACUAGGGAAUAGAAACCAGAGGGAGGCUGGAGGUGAGAAUCUCCCUGAAACCCAGGCACAUAUGGGAGAGAACCAAGAACAGUUAAGAUGUAAAAUUGAUGCAGAGACCCAAACACCUGAGUGGGAGAACCAGGAUAAGAAUGGAAGUGAGGAUGCUGUGGAGACCCAGACAUUUGAGAAGAAGGACAAGAAAGAGGCUGGAGAGGAGGAUGGGGAAGAGAUCCAGGCUCAAGGAUUGGGGAAGCAAGGCCAGACUGGAGAUGAGAAUGGUGAGGAGACCCAGACACCACAGUGGGAGAAACAAGAUCAGAUGAAAGGUGAUGCGGAUGUGGAAAUUCAGAUGGAAGAGGGGAGAAACAAGGAUCAGGUUGGAGGUCAGGAUGCUGCACAAACCCAAUCAUGUGGGAGGGAGAACGUGGGAGAAGUAAAAAAAGAGAAUAGUGUAGAGACCCAGGCCUUGGAUUGGGGAAAACAGGAAUGUGUUGGAAAUGGGAAUGUUACAGAGAUCCAGACACCAAGGUGGGAGAAGCAUGAUCAAGGUGGAAGUAAGAAAGCUAAGAAGACCCAAGCAUCUGGGGGAGAGAACCAGAAACAAUUAAGUCAUGAAAUUCAAGUGGGGUGGGGAAAUAAGGGCCUGAGAAGAGAUGAAGAUGCUAAGGAAACCCAGAUAGCUACCAAGAAGAAGCUCAGGGAGAUAAGAGAAGGAUUGGGUGGUGAUCCAGGCACUAUGGUGGGGAAACCGGAGACAAGUAGCAAGUGAAAUUUAUAGAGAAUUUGAGAUACUAUGUUGGGAGAAUCAGAACUGGAUUGGAGGUGAACAUAGAGCAGAAAUUCAGGCAUCAGAGAAGAGAGACCAAAGAAAGGAUGGAUGUGAGGAUGGCACAAAUAUCCUGGCACCCGAGGCUGAGAUCCAGGAACAAUUAAAAGGUGAAACUGAUGUGGAGACUCAGAGCAAUGAGCCACUUAGAGAAGAGGAUGGUACAGACAUUCAGUCACUAGGGAGGAGAGAGGUUAAAGGUGAGGAUGAUAAAGACACCCAGGAACUUGGGAGGAAAAAUCAGGGUCAGUUAGGAAAUGAAUUUAGUGGAAAGAUUCACAUACCAAAGGGGAAGAAUCAGGAACAUAUUAGAGGCGAAGAUGGUGCACAUACCCAGAUAUCUGAGUCAGGGAACUGGGGCAAAUUAACAAGUCAAAUUGAUGGAGAAAUGCAUUCAGCAGAAUGGAAGAAAGAUCAGCAGAUUGGAGGUGAGAAUGGGGCAGAAAUUCAGAUACAAGGGAAGAGAAACCUGAGAGAAGUUGGAGGUGAGGACGGUGUAAAGACCUGGGCACCUGGGAAAGAAACCCAGAGUCAGUUUAGAAGUGAUCUUGGUAGAAAGAUCCUUUUAUCAGAGUGGAAGAGCCAGAAGCAGAUGGGAAGUGAGAAUGGAACAGAAAUUCAGGCUCCAGUGGAGAGAAACCAGAGAGAACCUGGAGGUGAGGACGGUGUAAAGACUCAGAGACCUAAGAGAGAGAACGAGGACCAGUUAGAUAGUGAAAUUGGAGGGAGCCAUUCACCAGGGAGGAGGAACUGGGAGCUGAUUGGAAAGGAUGUUGCAGAAAAUCAGGCAUCAGAGAAGAGAAACCAGAGAGAGGUUGGAAACGAGGACGGUAGAAUGAUCUGGAGGCUUAGGGGAAAAAACUGGAGGCUUAGAGCGAAGAAACAGACUGUUAAAAAGUAAAGAUAAUGGAAAGACCCGUUUAUCAGAGUGGAAGAACCAGGAACAGGGUGGAGGUGGGAAUGAUGAAGAAAUUCAAAUACAGGGGAAGAGAAACCUGAGAGGGACCACAGCUGAUGAUGGUACAGAGACCCAGGCUCCUGCAGGAGAUGACCAGGGACAGUUAAGAGUUGAAAUUGCUGAAGAGAUCCAGGUACAAGGGCAAGGAAAUAAGAAUGACGGUGGAGUUGAGGAUGUUGCAGAACUCCAGGAUAUAGGAAGCCAGAGAAAGUGCACAGAUGAGGAUGUUGGAGAGCCUCGAGCACCAAGGGGAGGAAACAAGGAUCUGGUCAGAGGAGAGGAUGCUGUGAGGGACAGUCUCCAAGUCGACUGUUCUGGGAGUGAGAGGCCCACAGGCAGGAAGCACAGCCUACCAUGGCCUCCAGCCUUCACUGGCUAUGGAUGUGGGACCCGGGAACAGGAACAGGCAGUGGCUGUGAAUGGUUUCAUCUCUGCCCCCUGUCCUGAGAUGAAUCCUGUCCCCCACUGGGGUGAAGUCUUCCUGCUGGUGGGUGGGGAGGGAGAGCAUCUGGCCAGCCAGGGCACAACCCCUGCCAGGGAUCAUAGAGUGGGGAUCAGUCCAGCCUCCCAGCAGGCCCAACCUGAAUCCUGGAGAAGACGACAAAGGGACAAAGGGGUGGAUCCAGAGAAGGCCCCCAGCCUGACUCGGCAGUCCCAAAACCCUCCGUCUCUGACAGCUCCCUUGGGCAUGCCCUCUGCCUGCUCCUGUCUCCCGUGUGGCCCAGCCCCGGAAGCUGCCAUCAUUCUAGCGGGUCCUCCCACCGCCCUCACUGUCCUGCCCAAGGGGACAGGCCUCAAGAAGAGCAAACGACUGCUCCUGGAGUCCCUCAUGCGGAGGAGGAUUGCACACCUGAAGUGGGGUCUUCCCCGGCGGAUCCUGGAGUCCUAUUUCCUGUUUAACUUCUUAGGAUCUUGCUCAUUGACCCUUGCUGGGGCGAGGCUCUCUGGACUGAACACAGGCCAGGAGCUCCAAGCCCAGCAGGAAAGGUAUUGUGAGGCCCAAGGCUCCCCACCAGGCCUUAAGUCCCCAGAGAGGUUCCAGAGGGUUCAGCGCCCAGACAGAAAAAGCUCGAAACUUCCUAUACAAGCCAGAGCUCUGGAGAGGAACAGACCGCACAUGUCAGAGCCCAUUAAGCAUUUCCAUCCAGCCUGAAAAGGCCAGGAGAGUCAGGCCACCAGGGGGCGCCAGAGAACCACAGGAGAUCCAGGAAGCGCUUGCUAGGACCAAGCUCCCAGCUCCCAGGACCCCCAGGCCGGCAGCGGAGUCCAGGAGCUGGUGUGGCCCACAAAGGGUCGGAGAGCCUCCCAGUGAGAACAGUAGGGGCAGGAAAAUGAUCAGGUCAAGGGUCUCCCAGCUGGCAGAGAGGGCUCCCAGCAGAGUGAGGACUUCAUUCUCUAGGGCAGACCACGCCCACUGGAGGAAGGAAUGUACAUCCUGGGAGGCCUCUAAGCUCCCCAGACUCAAAUGCCAGCAGCUCACAUACUGGAGAAGAGGAAGCCUGGAAUCUACAGGGUGCAGAGGGGCUGGGCAGCAGCCUUCCUGCCAUUCUGCAGAACCUGUCAGCUUCAAAGGGAGGCUCCACUCUGCGGUGGCAAAGCUGGGCCUGACCCUUCUGGCCAAGAUGUCCUGGUCCCCACAGCUCGCCAAGCGCAAGCACUUGGCCCCUAACCUGAGCCUGAGGGAACCUGAUUCUACUCUGCCUCCCAAAGUGGGUGAUCCUCGUGCAGGGGAGGACAGCAUCGGAGAUCACACUGCUUCACAGAGGGAUCUUCAGCUGCAAGGUC
ensembl:lncRNA C22orf46P chromosome 22 open reading frame 46, pseudogene